AGAAAGGGGAGUGCAAAUAUUGUGACUGCUGGGGACUGAGACUGUCUGUGGCGCAGUCGGUGGAGAUCUGCACUCCAAGCUGGCGGUAGGCUGCGGAGAAGUCCGACUGCCCCUCGUCUGGAACUGUCGCUCUUCCCUCUGACUGCUGCACAGACAACCGUCACUCAUUGCUUUUAGAUCCUGCGACUGGUGGGGAAAGCUGCCCACUACUCGCCAUUUAUUCUAGAUUCCCCAAGGGCAGGAUCUUAAUUAAGCUGACUGUUUUCUGAAGAAGCUUCAGCUCCGAGAAUCCCUGGGACGUUGCCAACACUGGGGGUGAAGGUGAAGGGGAACCUGUCCUUUUCCUGCUGUGUUCCCCGCCUUACCCCUCGGCCAUUGCCUUUCGUUUACUUCUCCAGUCUCCUGUCCUCGUAUCUUAGAUGGGUCAAAGCAUUAAAACGGGACAAACCUGUAUGGCAACGCAUCCCAGGUAUACGUGAAACCGGAAGCAGGAGCACUUCCGAAGUUCGUUGGACCAUCGCGGGGAAGCGCAGCUCCUCAAGGCUCCGUGGGUUGGUGGCAGCCUCGGGGGCCCUGCCCAUGAGCCGAGCGUGGUGGAUGCCGAUGCAUUAAGUGAUCUGGAGACACUCGGUCCUCGAGGUUCUUCCUCCAACUGAGUUAUUAUAUAGACUGGGACGUGCCAGGCCUUUCAAAAGUCAAUCAGCAUCGGCUUGUAAUUUCCUUCCUCAGACUUCUAAACCUACAAUCUUCCCACCCAUUUCUAAGCAUUUUGGAAUUUCUGUUCCCAAAUCUUGACUGAGGAAGCUAAAGGGAAGGAAAUUCAGAUCACCGUAGCUUAAGUUAGAAAAAAGAAUAGUUUUUUUUACUUAAAUGGUAAAUCAACAGCAAAUCACCUAAUAAAAAAUAUUUAUGAAUAUCUGCGGCUUAUUUUUGAAGUUUUAAAUUCUAUAUAUCAAUUACCCUGUUUUCAGUUAAAUUUGUUAAAGUUGAUUAAAA
rnacentral:lncRNA from 1 species